rnacentral:rRNA from 1 species
UGGGGAAUUUUGGACAAUGGGGGCAACCCUGAUCCAGCCAUGCCGCGUGAGUGAUGAAGGCCUUAGGGUUGUAAAGCUCUUUUAGUGGGGAAGAUAAUGACGGUACCCACAGAAAAAGCCCCGGCUAACUUCGUGCCAGCAGCCGCGGUAAUACGAAGGGGGCUAGCGUUGUUCGGAUUUACUGGGCGUAAAGCGCACGUAGGCGGGUCGUUAAGUCAGGGGUGAAAUCCCGGAGCUCAACUCCGGAACUGCCUUUGAUACUGGCGACCUUGAGGCUGGAAGAGGUUAGUGGAAUUCCCAGUGUAGAGGUGAAAUUCGUAGAUAUUGGGAAGAACACCAGUGGCGAAGGCGGCUAACUGGUCCAGAUCUGACGCUGAGGUGCGAAAGCGUGGGGAGCAAA